rnacentral:rRNA from 1 species
CCGCCCGUCACAUCAUGAAAGCCGUCUGCACCCAAACACGCCAAGCUAACCCGCAAGGGAGGCAGGUGUCUAAGGUGUGGGUGGUGAUUGGGAUG